rnacentral:rRNA from 1 species
UCGUAACAAGGUUUCCGUAGGUGAACCUGCGGAAGGAUCAUUACACUCAGUAGUUUUCUACUGCUCAGCGGGAGCGGAAAGCCUGCCAGCCUGCUGGCUUGCGAGUACGCCCUCUGUCUGAAACCCUUGUCUUUUUGCGUACUCAUGUUUCCUCGGUGGGCUUGCCCGCCGGCUGGACAACCUAUAAACCUUUUUAAUUUUCAAUCAGCGUCUGAAUAAUUAUAAUAAUUACAACUUUCAACAACGGAUCUCUUGGUUCUGGCAUCGAUGAAGAACGCAGCGAAAUGCGAUAAGUAGUGUGAAUUGCAGAAUUCAGUGAAUCAUCGAAUCUUUGAACGCACAUUGCGCCCUUUGGUAUUCCAAAGGGCAUGCUUGUUCGAGCGUCAUUUGUACCCUCAAGCUCUGCUUGGUGUUGGGUGUUUGUCCUUUCCCUGCGUCAGGACUCGCCUCAAAUUCAUUGGCAGCCGAUGUAUUGGUUUGAAGCGCAGCACAAUUUUGCGAUUCAGGCUGGUAACCAUGGGCGUCCAGUAAGCACAUUUUAACACUUUUGACCUCGGAUCAAGUAGGGAUACCCGCUGAACUUAAGCAUAUCAU